UACGUAGGGGGCGAGCGUUGUCCGGAUUUACUGGGCGUAAAGGGUGAGUAGGCGGUUAUUUAAGUCAGAUGUAAAAGGCUAUGGCUCAACUAUAGUAAGCAUUUGAAACUGGAUAACUUGAGUGCAGGAGAGGUAAGUGGAAUUCCUAGUGUAGCGGUGAAAUGCGUAGAUAUUAGGAGGAACACCAGUGGCGAAGGCGACUUACUGGACUGUAACUGACGCUGAGUCACGAAAGCGUGGGUAGCAAACAGG
rnacentral:rRNA from 2 species